rnacentral:rRNA from 1 species
GACAGAGGGGGCAAGCGUUGCUCGGAAUCACUGGGCGUAAAGAGCUCGUAGGCGGCUUGUCACGUCGGGUGUGAAAGCCCGGGGCUUAACCCCGGGUCUGCAUUCGAUACGGGCUAGCUAGAGUGUGGUAGGGGAGAUCGGAAUUCCUGGUGUAGCGGUGAAAUGCGCAGAUAUCAGGAGGAACACCGGUGGCGAAGGCGGAUCUCUGGGCCAUUACUGACGCUGAGGAGCGAAAGCGUGGGGAGCGAACAGG